ACCCCUGAACGAAUAAUAAAACAAACCAAACCAAACCAAAAGAAUUGUUAUCAUAUAAAAUCAAUGAAACAAAUUAGAUAAUUCAAUGAAUGAUGGAAUAGCUCAUGAGCUCCAAUUUAUUUUACUAUUUCAGCAUUUCAGGAAGAAGAAUUGAUUUGAAUCAAAUCAAAUCAAAUCGAAGACAAUUGAUAUCAAGUUACAUGUUUACCAAUAUUUACAUGGAUCAUUUACAACGAAAAUUAGUCUACCAAACAAUCAACUCAUCCUAAUUAUUCACAAUUCUGCAUGUUGACAAAGUCUUCAUUGAUUAUAUACUCAUGGAAUCAACAAUUAACUUGUAAUCCUUUCUGCAAACAGUUUUUUUUGUUCAUCAUCAUCAUCACCAUUUUGUUUUACUUGUGCCAAGUUAUCAUUUCGUCCAUACGAGUGUUCAAUUACAAUUGUAAAUCGGAUUGUAGUUAAUUGUAAAUAGUUAUCAUGGAAACUAAACAAAGAUAUCAAUUUACCUUGGAAAAUAAACUGUAAAGACUAAUGGAUUUCGAAUGCAAAAACAAUCAAGGAACAUGAAACUUUUAAACAUAAACGGAUGUUAUUGGAUAAUCAAGGAUCUAAAUCAUAAAACAAUCUAAUGAUUAGUCUGUGGUAAAUGAGAAUGAUGAUGAAAAGCUCACUUGUCUCUCUCUCUCUCGAAUUAUUUUACUCAAUAUAUGAAAGAUGAUUCUGUAAGACUGAGACUGAGAAUGUGUAUGUGUGUGUGUGUAUGCUAAAGGAAAUGCUUAUCAAGGGUCAAAUCAAGGUUAUUGAAUAUGUGUCAUUUUCGUUACCUGAUUGGAUGAUAUCGAGUAAAGUUGCACCCAUGGCAGUUUUCCUGGUCUUUAGAGUAUCGAAAACUUCCUGAGUAAGGUAUUUUUCAGUAAGGAUUUACAAUCCUUAGCAUCCUGAAGUUUCUUGAAUCCAGCUUCAAGUUUCUCAAGAGUAGCUGC